rnacentral:rRNA from 1 species
ACGUAGGGUGCGAGCGUUGUCCGGAAUUACUGGGCGUAAAGAGCUCGUAGGCGGUUUGUCACGUCGGCGGUGAAAUCCUAGGGCUUAACCCUGGACGUGCCGUCGAUACGGUCUGACUUGAGUACAACAGAGGAAACUGGAAUUUGUCGUGUAGCGGUGGAAUGCUCAGAUAUCACGAAGAACACCGAUGGCGAAGGCAGCUCACUGGGUAGUAACUGACGCUGAUGCGCGAAAGCAUGGGUAGCAAACAG